GAUGAACGCUAGCGACAGGCCUAACACAUGCAAGUCGAGGGGCAGCACAAGGUAGCAAUACUGAGGUGGCGACCGGCGCACGGGUGAGUAACGCGUAUGCAACCUGCCUGUAACAGGGGAAUAGCCUCUUGAAAGAGAGAUUAAUGCCGCAUAAUACGAGAUUCGGGCAUCCGGAUUUAGUUAAACAUUUAUGGGUUACAGAUGGGCAUGCGUUUCAUUAGGUAGUUGGUGAGGUAACGGCUCACCAAGCCGACGAUGAAUAGGGGUUCUGAGAGGAAGGUCCCCCACACUGGUACUGAGACACGGACCAGACUCCUACGGGAGGCAGCAGUGAGGAAUAUUGGUCAAUGGACGCAAGUCUGAACCAGCCAAGUCGCGUGAAGGAUGAAGGUAUUAUGUAUUGUAAACUUCUUUUGUCAGGGAAUAAUGGGUGUCACGUGUGACGCAGAGGAAUGUACCUGACGAAUAAGCAUCGGCUAACUCCGUGCCAGCAGCCGCGGUAAUACGGAGGAUGCGAGCGUUAUCCGGAUUUAUUGGGUUUAAAGGGUGCGUAGGCGGUUUGUUAANUCAGUGGUGAAAGUUUGCGGCUCAACCGUAAAAUUGCCAUUGAAACUGGCGAACUUGANUACAGUA
rnacentral:rRNA from 1 species